UUGGGUGUAGCUCAGCCUGGCUAGAGCACUGGUUUUGGGAACCAGGGGCCGGAGGUUCAAAUCCUCUCACCCCGA
rnacentral:tRNA from 1 species